rnacentral:rRNA from 1 species
UACGUAGGGUGCAAGCGUUUGUCCGGAAUUAUUGGGCGUAAAGAGCUCGUAGGCGGUUUGUCGCGUCUGCUGUGAAAUCUGGGGGCUCAACCCCCAGCCUGCAGUGGGUACGGGCAGACUAGAGUGUGGUAGGGGGAGACUGGAAUUCCUGGUGCAGCGGUGAAAUGCGCAGAUAUCAGGAGGAACACCGAUGGCGAAGGCAGGUCUCUGGGCCACUACUGACGCUGAGAAGCGAAAGCAUGGGGAGCGAACAGG